rnacentral:rRNA from 2 species
UGGGGAAUAUUGGACAAUGGGCGAAAGCCUGAUCCAGCAAUGCCGCGUGAGUGAUGAAGGCCCUAGGGUUGUAAAGCUCUUUUACCCGGGAUGAUAAUGACAGUACCGGGAGAAUAAGCCCCGGCUAACUCCGUGCCAGCAGCCGCGGUAAUACGGAGGGGGCUAGCGUUGUUCGGAAUUACUGGGCGUAAAGCGCACGUAGGCGGCUUUGUAAGUUAGAGGUGAAAGCCUGGAGCUCAACUCCAGAAUUGCCUUUAAGACUGCAUCGCUUGAACGUCGGAGAGGUGAGUGGAAUUCCGAGUGUAGAGGUGAAAUUCGUAGAUAUUCGGAAGAACACCAGUGGCGAAGGCGGCUCACUGGACGACUGUUGACGCUGAGGUGCGAAAGCGUGGGGAGCAAACAGG